CGGUUCGGGCGCGAUGGUUUCCUUCGAGAUUGGGCCGGGGCGGGGGUCUGGGCUUUAGACGUUUCACAGUGUUUGGGGACCUGUUUGUAGAGGAUUAUUCCAGUGUGUCAGAUAAUCAGUAUGGAAAAGGGAAGAAAUUAAAGACCAAAGCUUUGGAGGCACCUGCUCCUAGAGAAUUCACCAAUUUAAGCGGCAUCAGAAAGCAGGGUGAAAACUUUUGUCUCAAUUCUCUUUUUCAGACUCUUCAUUUCACACCUGAAUUGAGAGAGUCAUUCUGAUGGAUUGGACUGCAUGUGGGAUUUCAGAGUGGUGUCUCUUGGCCUUGACUUCAUCCCCUCCAUAAAAAGAUAUCCCUGGCUCAUUCAUUAAUACCACCAUUAGAAAUUUUUGGCAUUAAUAAGCAGAUUCCUAAGGGUUUAAAACUUUUCCAAGUUUUAAUCUAGUGGAAGUUCAAGACCAACUUAAAAGAGAAAAGUAGCCUUAACAAGAGACUGAAGAAGACUGUUUGGUGGGCAGGGAGGUGGACUGGUCAUGGAGAGUACCACUGAGCAAGAACAGGGCUGAGAGCCCCAGGCCAUCUUCCUCUCUAGCAAAGGAGAUCACCGGCCAGGCACAUGGGUGACGUCUUAGUGUGGAUGGUGCACUCUUUGUAAGGCUUAACAUGGAUCCCGAUGCUUGUUGACCGGGAGGUGUAAUUUGGAAAGGGUCAGGACUAGCAGAGAACUGGGGGAGGGAAAUUCUGCAGCUUUUUGGAAUCAUAUUUUUUAGGAGUAGGGCUAGACUGGGUUCCAUUGUACUCCCAGAUCAAUGAGUACGGUGACGGUACACAGAAAGUAGUGGGAGAUGAUUGUGAAAAUCCUCCUUUUGUGCAGUUUUGAAAACUUUGAUAAUAAAAAGUUGAAAUAAAUAAUCUUGGCGGGAGGCAUGGGGUUUCCUGAUUAACAGAUAAAUUUGAGUUUGAAUUUGGAAUGAAGCCACAAUCUGAGACCAGUGGGGAAGCACGGAUCUUUUAUUGCUGUGUAAACUCAUCCAGCCUCCAGUUCUCCAGAACUGGAAGCUCUGCUCUGAACUGUAUAGACUGAACCUAAAUUCCUUCCAGCUGAACCCAGUAAUCAAUUCUAUUGAAACUCACCAAAAAUUGGCAAAGACUUAAAGUGUUUUUCUUUUUCCAUUGAAACUUCAUAUUCUCCUGGUGGCAGGCCAGGUGGCGCAAGCGGUUAAGUGCACGUGCUCCGCUGCAGUGAACCCGAGCGCACACCGAGGCACUGCUUGUCAAGCCAUGCUGUGGCGGCGUCCCCUAUAGGGUGGAGAAAGAUGGGCACGGAUAUUGGCCCAGGGCCAGUCUUCCUCAGCAAAAAGAGGAUGAUGGGCAGAUGUUAGCUCAGGGCAGAUCUUCUUCUUCAAAAAAGAAAAAUAUUCUCCUGAAUGAUGAUCUGCAAUACUUGUUGAAGUAUUUAAUUAUAUCCCCAAAUGUAAUUCCCCAGGACAGACUCAAGGAGAUUUUGUUCUAGGAGACUCUGAGGAAAAUGGCCUACCUGGGGCUUGAGACUCGGCAGACACACACACGUACACGCUCAAACACAUAUGCAUAACACACUCUAUCAUCAAGUGCUGUUUCCUUCUCAUUGGACAGAUAAGAUUCAGAUUACGACUCCUUCUCAAGCAAGGUAGAACACCUUGUGUGUGUGCCUUUCCAAAGAGCUAACCUGCCCAUCUGAAACAAGGCUGGAAAAAUAAACAGUGUGCAUAGGUCUUUUGAUGUAGGUUUACUUUUGUACUUACACUGUAUCCAAGGCUCUGUCGUAAAGGACCAUCUUUGAGAUCAGAAUGCCUCUUUGAGAAUUCCACUUACUUUAUGUUCAUAAAUGUAUGCAACAUUUCACAUAUAUAAAACCUUUAUACAUAUAUAUUC